AACUUUUAACAACGGAUCUCUUGGUUCUGGCAUCGAUGAAGAACGCAGCGAAAUGCGAUAAGUAAUGUGAAUUGCAGAAUUCAGUGAAUCAUCGAAUCUUUGAACGCACAUUGCGCCCGCUGGUAUUCCAGCGGGCAUGCCUGUUCGAGCGUCAUUU
rnacentral:rRNA from 3 species